rnacentral:rRNA from 1 species
AUUGAACGCUGGCGGCAGGCCUAACACAUGCAAGUCGAGCGAGCGGCGGACGGGUGAGUAAUGUCUGGGGAACUGCCUGAUAGAGGGGGAUAACGACUGGAAACGGUGGCUAAUACCGCAUACUAUCGGAUGAACCCAUAUGGGAUUAGCUAGUAGGUGGGGUAAAGGCUCACCUAGGCGACGAUCGCUAGCUGGUCUGAGAGGAUGAUCGACAACACUGGGACUGAGAAACGGCCCAGACUCCUACGGGAGGCAGCAGUGGGGAAUAUUGCACAAUGGGCGAAAGCCUGAUGCAGCCAUGCCGCGUGUAUGAAGAAGGCCUUAGGGUUGUAAAGUACUUUCAGUGGGGAGGCGUUACCCGCAGAAGAAGCACCGGCUAACUCCGUGCUAGCAGCCGCGGUAAUAC